rnacentral:rRNA from 1 species
GAUGAACGCUGGCGGCGUGCCUAAUACAUGCAAGUCGAGCGAACGGACGAGAAGCUUGCUUCUCUGAUGUUAGCGGCGGACGGGUGAGUAACACGUGGAUAACCUACCUAUAAGACUGGGAUAACUUCGGGAAACCGUAGCUAAUACCGGAUAAUAUUUUGAACCGCAUGGUUCAAAAGUGAAAGACGGUCUUGCUGUCACUUAUAGAUGGAUCCGCGCUGCAUUAGCUAGUUGGUAAGGUAACGGCUUACCAAGGCAACGAUGCAUAGCCGACCUGAGAGGGUGAUCGGCCACACUGGAACUGAGACACGGUCCAGACUCCUACGGGAGGCAGCAGUAGGGAAUCUUCCGCAAUGGGCGAAAGCCUGUCGGAGCAACGCCGCGUGAGUGAUGAAGGUCUUCGGAUCGUAAAACUCUGUUAUUAGGGAAGAACAUAUGUGUAAGUAACUGUGCACAUCUUGACGGUACCUAAUCAGAAAGCCACGGCUAACUACGUG